rnacentral:rRNA from 1 species
UUUGGAUGAGCCCGCGGCCUAUCAGCUUGUUGGUGAGGUAAUGGCUCACCAAGGCUUCGACGGGUAGCCGGCCUGAGAGGGUGACCGGCCACACUGGGACUGAGACACGGCCCAGACUCCUACGGGAGGCAGCAGUGGGGAAUAUUGGACAAUGGGCGGAAGCCUGAUCCAGCAACGCCGCGUGAGGGAUGACGGCCUUCGGGUUGUAAACCUCUUUCAGCACAGACGAAGCGCAAGUGACGGUACUGCAGAUUGAGGCCCUCAAG